rnacentral:misc_RNA from 1 species
GAUGAAGAACGUAGCGAAAUGCGAUAAGUAACGUGAAUUGCAGAAUUCAGUGAAUCAUCGAAUCUUUGAACGCACAUUGCGCCCACUAGUAUUCUGGUGGGCAUGCCUGUUCGAGCGUCAUUUCAACCCUCAAGCCUGGCUUGGUGUUGGGGCUCUGCGCCUGCAGUCCCUUAAAUCCAGUGGCGGACACGCUAGGUCUCCGAGCGCAGUAGUUUCUUCUCGCUCAGGGCGUCCGGCGUGGGCUUGCCUCGCACCCAUCUUAUCAAGGUUGACCUCGGAUCAGGUAGGAAUACCCGCUGAACUUAAGCAUAUCAAUAAGCGGAGGA